AAGAGAGAAAUAGAAGAGAAUAAAAAAAUGAAAAAAAAGGGAAAGUUAAAAAAACAUAAAAGGAAAAAAUGAAAUUGUUAAAAACGAAAAAAAUAUGAAGAUCGAAUGUAUACAUUGACCUAAAUUUUUUGUUUGAAAUGAUGAUUUAGCAUGCUAUGUUAGUUUAUCAUUAUAGUGUUAAUGAUAAUUAAUGGCUUAGUGAUUAAAAUGUUACAACGCAAUAAUGUAAAUGACUAAAACGUAACAUUUCAAAUAUAAGUGGCUAAAAUAUAACCUUAGAUAAAGAGAACUGACUAUUUUGGUUUGUUAGUUGGGUAUUUGUUGAAACAAGGGCAGCAAGCAUAAGCAAAACAAAAACAACAAGCAGAGAAAAAAGAAAAACGUUGACAAGAAUUGUAACUAAAGGAAUUCAACAUUAACCUUGUAUUCAAAUUGAAAUAUAUUGAAGUUAAAAUAUUUGCUUGACAGUUACCUAAACAAUUAACUACUUUCACUAAUUGACUAGUUUCAAACUUAAGAGAUACACAAAAGCAAAGCUGAAAACGUCAACUAUUACAUCCAUCAUAAUCAAAAGAUUUACUAACUUUGAUGUCAAGUUACAAACCAACUUGAUCAAAUUACAAAAAGACUAAAAACAAAAAGAACUAAGUUGCUUUUGGUUCAUUCUUGCUGCUGGCAAGCUGUCUGAGCUGCUGGUUGCUUGUUGCAUUGCAGGCCAAUGCUUAAGGCUUCUUUUGGAUUCAAACACAACACAGUGCGUUGAAAAUUUUUAUCUUGAUUUUCAAUCUCACUGCACCACAGUGAAUUGCUUGGCUGUUUGAAUGUCUUGCUUCCAGCACAAUGAGACGUUUUUGCUGCACCGGACAGCGUUAUCUCCACUGGUGCUAAAAGCUCCAGUCAGCUCCAGCACGGUGAGACGUUUCAAUGUACUGUGUUGUGUUUGAAUCCAAAGGAAGUCUAACACUCCUUCUUGGACUGUAGGCAACAAACACCAAUUAAAUCUCUUAAGAUUUCGAGCCUAGUUGUACCAAGAGGCUUUGUCAAAAUAUCAGCCAAUUGAUCUUGUGAACUACAAUGUAUGAGACUAACAUCUUUUGACUGCUCAGCCUCUCAAACAAAAUGAAACUUGAUUUUAAAAUGUUUAGUUUUGCCAUGAAAGAUUGGAUUCUUGGCUAUGGCAACUGCUGACUGAUUGUCCACCAUGAUUUCAGUAGGUUCAAGUUGUUCUUCAUUCAAAUCAAAUAGCAACUUUCUAAGCCAAAUGACUUGACUGAUAGCUGCUGCAGCUGCUAUGUAUUCUGCUUCAGCUGUUGACUAAGCAACUGUUUGCUGCUUCUUCGAACUCCAACAGAGAACUCCCGAGCCAAAUGUGAAGAAAUAGCCCGAGGUACUUCUCAUGUCAUCAACAGACCCAGCCCAGUAACUAUUUGAAUAACCAAUUAGCUUUAGCUCACUUUCUUUCUUGAACAUGACCCCAAACUUCAAAGUUACUUUGACAUACCUGAGUAUCCUCUUAGUUGCCUUGGAAUGAGAUGUGUUGCAACAAUGCAUGAAUCUCGACAACAAACCAACAAUAUGCAUAAGGUCAAGUUUGGUUGCUGUUAAAUAAAGCAAACAGCCAACUAAGCUUCUGUAUUCUUUCUCAUCAACUCUUUCUUGACUUCCAAAACUAGUCAGUUUCUCCCAUUGAGCCAGUAGUGUACUCACUUAUUUACAAUUUUCCAUAUGAAAUUUAGUGAGAAUUUUCAAGGAAAAAGCAUGCUGACUAAUAAAAAUGCCUUGAUCAGACUGGUUUACUUCCAUACCAAUGAAGUAAGUCAUGAUUCCCAAGUCUGUCAUGUCAAACAUUUCUUGCAUUUUUUCUUUGAACUCUUGAAUCAAAUCGACCCUGCUUCCAGUCACUAACAAAUCAUCCACAUAGAUUGAAACAAUCAACAAGGUUUCAUCUUUAGACUUUUUUUACAAAGAGAGUUGGCUCACUCAAGCUUUUCUCAAAAUCGAGCCUAGACAGGUAAGCAUCAAUCCUGUCAUACCAGGCUCAAGGUGCCUAUUUCAGGCCAUAAAAAGCUUUCUUCAGCCUGUAAACUUUGUCCUAUUCUCCUUGGACUUUAAAACCAUCAAGCUAUUCAACAUAUAUCUCUUCUUUAAGAAAACCAUUCAAAAAAGCUGACUUAACAUUAAGUUGAUGAAUUCUCUAUUGUUUUUGUGCAGCUAAAGCAAAUAAAAGCUUAAUGGUGUCUAGCCUUGCCACUGGAGCAAAUGUUUCUAUAAAGUCAAUGCAAAACUGCUAGCUAUACCCUUUCACCAUAAGCCUUGCCUUUUGUUUGUUUAAAGAGCCAUCAGCAUUGAAUUUGGCUCUAAAAACUCACUUGACACCUAUGACCUUCUUUUGGUCAGGUCUACCCACCAGAUCCCAAGUGUUAUUUUUGUUGAUUAUAUCAAUUUCAACUUCCAUGGCCUUCUUUCAGCACUUAUUUUUUUACAGCUUCUUCAUAGCUCGAAGGCUCAACUAUGGCCACAUUGCAUCUUUGAUAGAUGUCAGCAAUGGACCUGGUCCCUAUUACAGGAGAAUCAUCCACAUUUGAAUUGUUGAAUUCAUUUUCAGUUAAUUCUAAACUGCUGUCAAUCUGAUCUUCUUCAAACUGACCUGUAUCUGAACCAUCCAUGCUCCAAAACUUUUCUUUAUUAAAUUUGACAUCCCUACUCACCAGAAUCUGUUUGGUAGAGGGAUCAAUUAUCCUGUAACCCUUCUUGAUGCUGCUGUAGCCAACAAACAUACCUGAAAUUGACCUCUUCUCAAACUUAAUCCUUCUUUCUGCAGGUACAAGAGCAUAACACACACAUCCAAAUACUUUCAAAUGAGAAACAAAUGGCUUGAGUCCAUGCCAUGCUUCAAAAGGAGUUUUAUCCUUCAUAGCACAUGUUGGUAGCCUAUUGAGCAGGUACACAGAGGUAUUGACACUUUCAGCCCAAAAUGUGCUUGAGAGUUUGCUUUGAAACAACAAACACCUAGCCAUGUUCACCACUGUUCUGUUCUUUCUUUCACACACUCUAUUUUGCUAAGAGUGUACACUAUGGUUAACUGAUGAUGGAUCUCAGCCUGCUCACAUAGUCUGUCCUCAAGGCUUUAAUUUUGUAGCCUGUUUGAUUUUAAACUAAAGCCUUGAACUUUUCAAAGACUUCAAACACUUCUGACUUCUGUUUCAUGAAAUAAACCCAACAAAAUCUGGUUAGAUCAUCAAUAAAUAGCACAUAGUACUUGCUGCCAUUUAGUGAAGGGGUCUUCAUUGGUCUAUAAGCAUCAAAGCGUACCAAUUCAAGCUUUUCUCGAGCCCUCCAUGCCUGGUUAACUGGAAAAGGCAGCCUAGCCUGCUUACCAAGCUGGCACACUUCACAAACAGCCUCACUUGCCUCGACCUUGGUCAUGUCCUCUGCCAAAUUCAGCUUGUGCAACAAAUCAAGUGACCUGAAAUUGACAUGGGCUAAUCUUUUAUGCCAUAGGCUGGUAUUUUUAGUUAAGCUUGUAUAAGCUUUCUUCUCAAGCUUGCUUACAUCAAGCAUAAAUCAAUUGUCUGCCACAGGCACUGAGAUUAUUUUUAGACCAUGAAAAUCUUCAAUAAUACAAGAACCAUUCUUGAAAACUAGUGAAUAACCUUUUUCAACCAACUGGCCUACACUAAGUAGGUUCUGAUCUAUAUCAGGCACAUAAAGCACAUCUGAAAUAACUUUGUUACCUGAGCCAAUGUUGAUCACCACAUCACCUCUGCCUUUGGCUUCAAUCAGGUUCCCAUUACCUAUCCUGACUUUCGAGGUGAAGCUUCUGUCAAGAUUUUUGAACAAGCUUUCAUCAGCUGCCAUGUGAUGUGAACAACCACUAUCCACAAGCUAAUUGUAUUUGACUUUACUUGUGGUUGCAAAAUAUGAGGCAGUAAAGAUAUGCUUCUCCUGAGCUUGUAGAUCCUCAACAGUCUUGGCUUGUAUAUUGUGCCUUUUCUUGAUUUUUACAAAUCUUCUCAUGAUGGUCAUACUACUUACAGCUUUUGCACUGGAUAUCUGGUCUGUUCCAGCAGCAUUUUUCCAAAUGAUUAGUUUUCUUGCAGUGAAUGCAUGGUGGGAACCUCCUUCUUAAUGUGUCUCUUCUUGAUUUCUCCCUUUUGUCAAACCAAGGCUUCUUUGCUUUCUGACUUGAGCUUGAGCCCUCUCUGGCUUUUGCUUAAAAGGCUCAUUCAGGAUGCUCCUCUUGCCUAUUAACCCUCCUCUGCUCAAGUGCAUAAAGAAAGUUCACCAAUUCAGACAAAGAAAUGGUUGUGAGGUCCUUCGAGUCCUCUAAUGAGGAGAUUUUGGACUCGAACCUCUUAGGGAGAGUGGUGAUAACCUUCUCGACGACCCUGCUAUCACUGAAGUCUUCUCCUAGGAGCCUAAUGUUGUUAACAGUGGCCAUGGUCCUAUCAGAGUACUGUUUAAUAGUCUCUGAUUCUUUCAUUUUUAAAUUCUCAAACUCCCUUCUAAGGUUAAUUACUUGUUGCUGCAUUGUCUUAUUUGAUCCCAUAAACUCCUCCUUCAGCCUCUCCCAUGCUUGCUUAGGUGAAUCACAGGCCAUAAUCUGAGUGAAGAUCACAUCAGACACUUCAUUCUGCAGGCAAGCCAUUACUUUGUGCUUCUUGGCUCGCUCCUCACUGUACUGCCUAAUAUGUGCAAUGGUUGGAUUUACCCUUAAUGGAGGUGGUUCAACAUCACUUUCAACUACACUCCACAAGUCAUGUGCUUGGAGGUAAGUUUUCAUUUUAACUACCUAAAUGUGGUAGUUCUCUCCAACAAACACUGAUGGUGGAUAUGGUGUAAAACUCAUGCUACUGAAACAAUUUUAACAAAACUCGAUUUCUAUAUUUUCAAGUUUGUUUUAAAUAGUAAAAACUCAAACAACAAUGAAGGUCCUCAAAGACAAGAGGCUUUGAUUACCAUUUGUUGAAACAAGGGCAGCAAGCAUAAGCAAAACAAAAACAACAAGCAGAGAAAUAAGAAAAAUGUUGACAAGAAUUGUAACUGAAGGAAUUCAACAUUAACCUUGUAUUGAAAUUGAAAUGUAUUGAAGUUACAAUAUUUGCUUGACAGUUUACCUAAACAAUUAACUACUCCCACUAAUUGACUAAUUUCAAA
rnacentral:lncRNA from 1 species